GACGAACCGUGCGAACGUUGUUCGGAAUCACUGGGCUUAAAGGGCGCGUAGGCGGCAGUUCAAGUCCGGGGUGAAAUCCUCCAGCUCAACUGGAGAAGUGCCUUGGAUACUGGAUUGCUCGAGGGAGGUAGGGGUCGAGGGAACUUCUGGUGGAGCGGUGAAAUGCGUUGAUAUCAGAAGGAACGCCGGUGGCGAAAGCGCUCGACUGGAUCUCUUCUGACGCUGAGGCGCGAAAGCUAGGGGAGCAAACGGG
rnacentral:rRNA from 1 species